AUCCAGAUUAUGAGUCCAAAAUAGGACGAAAUGUGUAUCCUGACUGGAU
rnacentral:hammerhead_ribozyme from 1 species